GGGGUUAUGCCUCAGCGGUAGAGCACUUGCCUAGCAUGUGUGAGGCACUGAGUUCGAUCCUCAGCACCUCA
rnacentral:tRNA from 1 species